GGCUGAAAUCCUCUAUCAUAAUCGCCCUUCCAUCUACAAUACCACCUUUUACACUUGGUCUAGCUAACACAAACCUACCGAUGAUAUCUCCAGUUUGCUUGCUUUCUCUUUUUUUCCCUUCACAUCAAAUAAAGCCCAUCACAUUGUCUAUGUUCUCGCCCCCAACAUUUAUGACCACAUUAUCUGCUAAUAGUAAAGAAUGCGCUUCUAGCCGCUAAUUUCAUCAGGAGGUGAUCCUAGUUUCGGGCGGAACUAAAA
rnacentral:misc_RNA from 1 species